rnacentral:rRNA from 1 species
ACUGUACGGGAGGCAGCAGUAGGGAAUCUUUCACAAUGGGCGAAAGCCUGAUGGAGCAAUGCCGCGUGCAGGACGAAGGCCUUCGGGUUGUAAACUGCUUUUAUAAGCGAGAAAUAUGAUGGUAACUUAUGAAUAAGGAUCGGCUAACUACGUGCCAGCAGCCGCGGUAAUCAGU